AUUGAACGCUGGCGGCAGGCCUAACACAUGCAAGUCGAACGGUAGCAGGAAGAAGCUUGCUUCUUUGCUGACGAGUGGCGGACGGGUGAGUAAUGUCUGGGAAACUGCCUGAUGGAGGGGGAUAACUACUGGAAACGGUAGCUAAUACCGCAUAACGUCGCAAGACCAAAGAGGGGGACCUUCGGGCCUCUUGCCAUCGGAUGUGCCCAGAUGGGAUUAGCUUGUUGGUGGGGUAACGGCUCACCAAGGCGACGAUCCCUAGCUGGUCUGAGAGGAUGACCAGCCACACUGGAACUGAGACACGGUCCAGACCCCUACGGGAGGCAGCAGUGGGGAAUAUUGCACAAUGGGCGCAAGCCUGAUGCAGCCAUGCCGCGUGUAUGAAGAAGGCCUUCGGGUUGUAAAGUACUUUCAGCGGGGAGGAAGGGAGUAAAGUUAAUACCUUUGCUCAUUGACGUUACCCGCAGAAGAAGCACCGGCUAACUCCGUGCCAGCAGCCGCGGUAAUA
rnacentral:rRNA from 1 species